rnacentral:rRNA from 1 species
UGCGUAGGCGGAUUUAUAAGUCAGUGGUGAAAACCUUCAGCUUAACUGGAGACUUGCCAUUGAUACUGUUAGUCUUGAGUACGGUCAAGGUAGGCGGAAUGUGUAAUGUAGCGGUGAAAUGCUUAGAUAUUACACAGAACACCGAUUGCGAAGGCAGCUUACUGGGCCAUUACUGACGCUGAGGCACGAAAGCGUGGGGAGCGAACAGGAUUAGAUACCCUGGUAGUCC